rnacentral:ncRNA from 1 species
AUUUAUAAGAAUAUGAUGUUGGUUCAGAUUAAGCGCUAAAUAAGGACAUGACACAUGCGAAUCAUACGUUUAUUAUUGAUAAGAUAAUAAAUAUGUGGUGUAAACGUGAGUAAUUUUAUUAGGAAUUAAUGAACUAUAGAAUAAGCUAAAUACUUAAUAUAUUAUUAUAUAAAAAUAAUUUAUAUAAUAAAAAGGAUAUAUAUAUAAUAUAUAUUUAUCUAUAGUCAAGCCAAUAAUGGUUUAGGUAGUAGGUUUAUUAAGAGUUAAACCUAGCCAACGAUCCAUAAUCGAUAAUGAAAGUUAGAACGAUCACGUUGACUCUGAAAUAUAGUCAAUAUCUAUAAGAUACAGCAGUGAGGAAUAUUGGACAAUGAUCGAAAGAUUGAUCCAGUUACUUAUUAGGAUGAUAUAUAAAAAUAUUUUUAUUUUAUUUAUAAAUAUUAAAUAUUUAUAAUAAUAAUAAUAAUAAUAUAUAUAUAUAAAUUGAUUAAAAAUAAAAUCCAUAAAUAAUUAAAAUAAUGAUAUUAAUUACCAUAUAUAUUUUUAUAUGGAUAUAUAUAUUAAUAAUAAUAUUAAUUUUAUUAUUAUUAAUAAUAUAUUUUAAUAGUCCUGACUAAUAUUUGUGCCAGCAGUCGCGGUAACACAAAGAGGGCGAGCGUUAAUCAUAAUGGUUUAAAGGAUCCGUAGAAUGAAUUAUAUAUUAUAAUUUAGAGUUAAUAAAAUUAAUUAAAGAAUUAUAAUAGUAAAGAUGAAAUAAUAAUAAUAAUUAUAAGACUAAUAUAUGUGAAAAUAUUAAUUAAAUAUUAACUGACAUUGAGGGAUUAAAACUAGAGUAGCGAAACGGAUUCGAUACCCGUGUAGUUCUAGUAGUAAACUAUGAAUACAAUUAUUUAUAAUAUAUAUUAUAUAUAAAUAAUAAAUGAAAAUGAAAGUAUUCCACCUGAAGAGUACGUUAGCAAUAAUGAAACUCAAAACAAUAGACGGUUACAGACUUAAGCAGUGGAGCAUGUUAUUUAAUUCGAUAAUCCACGACUAACCUUACCAUAUUUUGAAUAUUAUAAUAAUUAUUAUAAUUAUUAUAUUACAGGCGUUACAUUGUUGUCUUUAGUUCGUGCUGCAAAGUUUUAGAUUAAGUUCAUAAACGAACAAAACUCCAUAUAUAUAAUUUUAAUUAUAUAUAAUUUUAUAUUAUUUAUUAAUAUAAAGAAAGGAAUUAAGACAAAUCAUAAUGAUCCUUAUAAUAUGGGUAAUAGACGUGCUAUAAUAAAAUGAUAAUAAAAUUAUAUAAAAUAUAUUUAAUUAUAUUUAAUUAAUAAUAUAAAACAUUUUAAUUUUUAAUAUAUUUUUUUAUUAUAUAUUAAUAUGAAUUAUAAUCUGAAAUUCGAUUAUAUGAAAAAAGAAUUGCUAGUAAUACGUAAAUUAGUAUGUUACGGUGAAUAUUCUAACUGUUUCGCACUAAUCACUCAUCACGCGUUGAAACAUAUUAUUAUCUUAUUAUUUAUAUAAUAUUUUUUAAUAAAUAUUAAUAAUUAUUAAUUUAUAUUUAUUUAUAUCAGAAAUAAUAUGAAUUAAUGCGAAGUUGAAAUACAGUUACCGUAGGGGAACCUGCGGUGGGCUUAUAAAUAUC